CGGCUGCCCGGGGCGCGGGGGUGCCCGAGCUCUCCCGGCCGGUCACGCCGGCCCGCGAGAAGCAGCGACUAGAGACGCUGGCCGGGAGCGCCCGCUCGGGCCGCAGGGCUGCGGGCGGAGGCGAAAUAAAUAAUGCACGAAAAAGGAAAACAGACGUGAGCCGAGCCAGAGCCUCGCCCGCCUCCCGCCCCGGACUGCGCUCCCGCCCGCGCUCCCCGCCGCCGCCGCCAGCGCCGCUGCAGUGAUUCCUCGUCUCCAUCUAGCGAAGCUAUUGUGUAUUGGGCGCUUAAUAAUUUAUUUUUCCACCCGCGAGGAAGAGGGCUCCCAGCUCCCAAGGGUCUUGCUCCUCGCCUGCCGUCCCUACCCCAAGUUUCUCCGAGGCGCCAGGAAGGGGGAAAAGCCGCAUGGAACAAAGGGGCCAUCUAGAAGCCAGGAAGAGCGUGCUCAGCAGAAACCCACUCUGCUGGACCUUCAUCCGGGACUUCCAACCUCCAGAACUGUGAGAAAGUGAAUUUCUGUAGUUUACGCCACCCCUGCUGGGGUAUCUUGUUAGGACCGCUCGAGCUGAUACUCGGAUUCACCAGGGGCUCUCUGCUCAGAGAUACCAUGAAUGGGCAGUUAAACAUCCCAAGACCCUCCAGGCUGUGAACCUGUUUCUCCCAGCCUGAGAGGGUAUUUGGAAGGGAGGCCUGGCACCUGUCUGACGCUUUAGACUUUAGAUGUCACCGAGAGCUUUACCCACGCUGCGGCGACAGCUGUCCACCUGGAGGAGCGGAGGAGGAGGAGCUGGCCCUGGUACAGAUCUUUCUGGAUCCCGGAACACUAACCAUCAGCGACUUGGGUAGCAGGUGAAUUUCUAACCCCGUCUUACAUAAGGAAACACGACGUUCGCAUCUCCUCACAUCCCAGAAAACUGUUGCUCCGCUGUGACCUGCCAUCAGCAGGCGGAAGAUGAGGACAAGUGGCUGAGAAGCAGGACAGGCCAGGAAGGGUGGGGCUAAGCUGGCCCUCACUGGGAGGGCCGUGGGGUCCAGCAGCUGGUGGUGAUGCAGCUGUGAAGAGCUGGCCCCGGGCGAGGCACGGUGGGCAUUUCAUUUCCUUCAGGCCUCCCAGCGGCUGUGGAGGCAGGGGCUGGCAGCCCCCUCAUCCAGAACAGGGAUCUGAGGCUGGGCCCCCAAGUUCCCAGUGCCCCCAAACCAAGCAUGUCUGAACGCACACCCUGUUUGCCCUGCUGCGAAGUGACUUUGCCGUGGGAGGUGAUGAGUGUGUCCUUCCCGGGCUGCGCAAGUGGUGGCUCAGGGUGUUGUAAAAAUGGCAAUAGACCUCAGAUGAAGGUUGGACUAAAUGCCCUUGGACCCUUGAAGAUCCUGGUCAUCCAUAAACCACCAGGGUGGCUGGAGCCCAGGCCUCACGGCAGAGGGAGACCAAAGUUUACCUGGGGCUCUAGCGCGCAUUUGGAAGGUACUUGCUAGGGAAAGGAAACUCUAUGAUUUGCAUGUGACACGGCCACUUCCUGGGUCAGAGCCAAGACUUGGGAAAAGCCUGAGUGUUCUUCAAGAAGAGUCUAGAUAAAUAACCAACAGAUCAGCAACUACAAAGGCCUCAGAGAGCCCUCUGAGAUGGACAGAAGCCCAGAUCUAUCCUCUUGUGAUGAAAGCAUAUUGCAGAAUAAGUCGUAAAUUGGGAUAGCGCUUAUGUCAAAGACACACAAAGUCUUGUGUUUCCAUAUGUAAUUAAAAAUGUGUGUCAAUGCCUAGCAAGAGUUCUGGAAAGAGGCAUCCUGAGCUGAUGAUGGGGUUCCCUCCAGGGAG